rnacentral:rRNA from 1 species
UACGUAGGGUGCGAGCGUUAAUCGGAAUUACUGGGCGUAAAGCGUGCGCAGGCGGUCUGUUAAGUCCGAUGUGAAAUCCCCGGGCUUAACCUGGGAACUGCAUUGGUGACUGGCAGGCUUUGAGUGUGGCAGAGGGAGGUAGAAUUCCACGUGUAGCAGUGAAAUGCGUAGAGAUGUGGAGGAAUACCGAUGGCGAAGGCAGCCUCCUGGGCCAACACUGACGCUCACGCACGAAAGCGUGGGGAGCAAACAGG